UACGUAGGGGGCAAGCGUUGUCCGGAUUUAUUGGGCGUAAAGAGCGUGUAGGCGGCCAAACAGGUCAGCUGUGAAAACUCGAGGCUCAACCUCGAGACGUCGGUUGAAACCGUUUGGCUAGAGUCCGGAAGAGGAGAGUGGAAUUCCCGGUGUAGCGGUGAAAGUGCGCAGAUAUCGGGAAGAACACCCGUGGCGAAGGCGGCUCUCUGGGACGGUACUGACGCUGAGACGCGAAAGCGUGGGGAGCGAACAGG
rnacentral:rRNA from 1 species